AUUGCAUGAAAAUGAUUCUUCAGUUGGGUGAGAAGCGAGCGGCACUUGAGUAAGGCCGAUUAUGUCAACAAGACACCCCACACCGACUAUCGGAUUGCGGUACACUUAUUUACUCUGCAUUGGGCGCAAGCCACACAUGGAAGUCGUGCUAAGAAGAUAUAACCUUUGAUCCGGCCAUUGGACUUCGGCGAGGUAGCGAGAAAGCAGAUCUCCGCCAUGCUGAACACUGAAGAUCCCCUGAAGAUGAUCCCCCGCGAGCUCGGUGCCAGAAGGCCUAACACAUCCAGAUCCCUCAACUCCGGCUGCGCUGGGACAGAAAGGAAACCGGAUCCAACCGAGUCACGACCAUUAUCACCAGCGGCUUCGUGAUAAACCCGAGAGCCGGGCGAAUAUUUUCCCCAUUUAACUCUGCAGUAAUCCCCCCUAGGCAUGAAGGUAUCAAAGUUCUUCUUCGAAUUUCUGUUUGAAAAACUCCAAAGAAACACGUUUCCUAGCCGAGGGCUAGCAGCGAUAUCCCAGAAUAUCUACUCCCUCCGCACCCGAGCAAAAGGAAUUCUCAGCACCCCUCAGUCCAACCCCCUCCACCUUCCUCGUAGUGCUGGCGCUACAGCAGAUGGCCUUGUCACUCCAAACCAUGUGUCCCCUUCAGGAAUUCUGCUCUGUCCUCAGCAAGCCGCCCCAAGGUCACCAGAGCUCCUAGUGAUCCACCUUCAUACUAAAUACCAUUUUCAUUUAACAUCACUUGCCUCGAGAUCGCAAACACAAUACAAUAUACCCCCGCCCCCCCCCCGGCUUAGACAAUAGAGCAAGGUGCAAGUUGUCUUUCCCAGGUUUCCCAGAGCUCGCACGUGAGACGGCGAUGUCCGAAGUGGAGAAUCGUGGGGCCUUAUGGAGGCGCAUAUAUGCUACCAGAAAACACUAGCGCUCAUCUCAGCGUCAGCAACUGACGCUUAGAAUAGUUCACAAAGUCUGUAAGCGGGCUUGGGUUUCAGCCGCACAGCCUCCUGCAGCACAUCAAUGGGAUCAAAGUAGGAGCGUUGACUCCUUCGAGUUCCUUUUAGCUCACCGAGGAGACAAACGCCUCUCGCUAUCUUCAUGCUCGUGCGGCCAUUAAAAGGGGGUGAUUGUCGUUUAGAGAAUAACUUUUUUUUGUUAAUCUGGCUUGACGAUAGUGAUGAUCCUUGCGAUCCACCUCAAGGAUUUUGGAGAAACAACCAAUCAGAGACAGGCAUAUUUUGGGCAAAAGUGGCAUUAAGUUGCUACAGCAAUAUAUUUGACCAAAAACACGGUACAUUAAAAAAAAUACUUUUGAAAGACAAACACGUUUGAAAAGUAAAAAAAGAAAACAUCACCUGUUAUAUGGAUGCACAUCAAUAUUUGACAAUUAAAGAGCCGAUCAAACAUUUCUUUACGCAAUAUACUGUUCAUACGUGAAACAUUUAUACUUGACGCUAAGUGCAUGCGUGUGUGUGUGUGUGUGUGUGUGUGUGUGAGAGAAUAAACAUACCAGUGUACUCAUCACUGCUUACGCCGUCGCCAGAUAUUCCAUGACUCCUCCAAAAAGCUAGUAAUAU